ensembl:ncRNA mir-375 mir-375 stem loop
CCGGGCAGCGAAUUACUUGGGCCAAGGGAAUGCAAACUGUGAUCAUCCCGAAAGUUUGUUCGUUUGGCUUAAGUUAUUUUCAUGUCCGACU